GAUGAACGCUGGCGGCGUGCCUAAUACAUGCAAGUCGAGCGAAAGGACGCGAAGCUUGUUUCGCUGAUGUUAGGGGCGGAGGGGUGAGUAACACGUGGAUAACCUACCUAUAAGACUGGGAAAACUUCGGGAAACCGGAGCUAAUCCGGGAUAAUAUUUUGAACCGCAGGGUUCAAAAGUGAAAGACGGUCUUGCUGUCACUUAUAGAUGGAUACGCGCUGCAUUAGCUAGUUGGUAAGGUAACGGCUUACCAAGGCAACGAUGCAUAGCCGACCUGAGAGGGUGAUCGGCCACACUGGAACUGAGACACGGUCCAGACUCCUACGGGAGGCAGCAGUAGGGAAUCUUCCGCAAUGGGCGAAAGCCUGACGGAGCAACGCCGCGUGAGUGAUGAAGGUCUUCGGACCGUAAAACUCUGUUAUUAGGGAAGAACAUAUGUGUAAGUAACUGUGCACAUCUUGACGGUACCUAAUCAGAAAGCCACGGCUAACUACGUG
rnacentral:rRNA from 1 species